rnacentral:lncRNA from 1 species
UUCCUGUGGCUGCCGUAAUAAAUUACUAAAACCUUAGUAGCUUAAAACAACGUAAUUUAUUCUCUCGCAGUUGUGGGGGCCAGAAGUCUGAAAACAGUUUCCCUGGGCCAACAUCAAGAGUUGGCAGAGCUGCACUCACUCAGGGGCUGGCGGGGAGAAUCUGUUACGCGCCUCUUCCAGGGUCCGGUGGCUAUGGCCACACCAACUCCGAUGUUCAAGGCCCGUGUUCUCAAGCCUCCCUCUACUGGUCUCCACACUGGGGCCUCCUCUGUGUGUUUUCAGAUCUCUCUUUGUCGUCUGAUUAUAACGAUGCAUGUGACUGUAUUUACAGCCCACCUAGAUACCGCAGGAUAAUCUUCCCAUCACAAGAUUCUUCAUCUGCUCACAUUGCCAAAAACUCCUGUUUUCCCCUCAUGUAAGGUAACACUGACAAGUUCCAGGUAUUAGAAUGGGAAUAUCUUUUGAGGGGCCAUUUCACAACCUUCCACAACCACAAACUCCUUACGCUGUUUGUUUACUUGCCCUCUCUGGGCCGGUUUCCCCACUUGUGAAGUGAGAGGGUUGGGUGAGAAGCCCUUCUGUGACCCUGACUUCAUUUACCUUGUCUCAAAGCCUAAUCUGCUGGGGCAGCCUUUCCCUGGUCCCGCCUCUCCUCUCAACCCUGGAGGUUGUGUCCAGGGUUGGGGGCGUGCCCUCCUUCCCACACAAGGCCAUUUCCUGGGGGGUUUCCAUUGCCUGAGGUGCUGGGUGGGUGUCUGCAAGGCCGCUGGAGCAGCCUGUGUUCUCACACAUGCAUGGCAGACCGGUCGGUUGUGUCUGCACCAACAUCCACCUAGCUCAGGAGCUUCAUUUAGAAGGGCCACGUGGCCCAGGCCCAUGAGAUGGAAGCAGGGCUGGAGAUGGGAGGGCAGAGAGGCAGGCAGAGCCUCUGCCUGGUAGCCCCCUCCCCUCACCCAGCUGCACAGCUCCCUACAGUAAAUGCAUGACCUCACGUCUGGCUGCCUGGCAUUCUGGAGAUCAUCCAAGAAGCUGAGGCAGGUGGGUAUCCCAAGUCCUCAGUGUGGAGCAACCACAGCCUGGGCAGUGCAGUCAGCCCAUUCCUCUGGGAUUUGAAAGCCCACCUCUGCGAGCCAGCUGCACGCCCUCACUCUGGCCUUUCUGCUGAGUGUGAGGCAGCCCUCAUGUGCCUCCUCUGUGAUGUUGUUUAUGGUCCUCUUGGACUGUGCAGCAACCUCUCCUCAACUCCCCCUCAGCAUCCCUGUGUCUCUUCUCCUUUCACCUUGGAAUCUGAGCACCAUCAGCAAUUACCCAAUUAUAGCUCAGCUUUGGGAGCCCUACACAAGUCAAGCACUGUGCUGAAUGCCUUACACAUGUGGUCUAUCUCAGGUCUCAAAAAAACAACCUAAGAAGUCUGUGUUAUUGCUUCCGUUUUUACGGGUAGGGGACUAGGGACUCAGAGAAGUCAUGGAUGGACCCAUGGCCACCGCACUCGACACGCGGCAGCCCGGGAUUUGACUCUCGGUUGGCCCCGCUCAAGCACAGGCUCGCUACCUCCACCCCUGAGCCAUCCCACACAGCAUUCUCGCCCCAACCAGAGAGGUCUCCCAUCU